rnacentral:rRNA from 1 species
UUUAUCAAAAACAUGGCUCUUGAAUUAUAAAAUAUAAGGAGUCGGGCCUGCCCAGUGAAUAUUUUUAACGGCCGCGGUACCCUGACCGUGCAAAGGUAGCAUAAUAAUUUGCCCUAUAAUUGAGGGCUAGAAUGAAUGGUUUGACAAGAAUAAACCUGUCUCUAUAUAAUUUUGUAAAAUUUAAUUUUUAGGUGAAGAAGCCUAAAUUUUAUUAAAAGACAAGAAGACCCUAUCGAGCUUGAAAGAAAUUAGUAGAUAUGUAACAAUUUAUUAAAAAGUAUAACUAUUAAAUAUUUUGGUUGGGGCGACUAAGGAACAUAAAAAGCUUCUUUAAAUAGUUAAUUAUUAAUUGAUUUUGACCCAGAAAUUUUGAUUAAAAAAAUUAGUUACCGUAGGGAUAACAGCAUUAUCUUUUUUAAGAGUCCUUAUCGAAAAAAAGGUUUGUGACCUCGAUGUUGGAUCAGAAUAUCCUAAAGAUGCAGAAGUCUUUAAAGGUUGGUCUGUUCGACCAUUAAAAUUCUACGUGAUCUGAGUUCAGACCGGCGUGAGCCAGGUCAGUUUCUAUCUUUAAUUAUUUACUUAAAACUUAGUACGAAAGGACCAGUUUAUAAAUAUUAUCGCCUGUUUAUCAAAAACAUAGGAAAAAUACAUAGAAGAAAAUAUAUUUUUGUAUAUGAGCAUGCCUAAUACAUCAGACAAUCUCAUAUGGCAUAUAUGAAA